GAAUGUGCUUUAUGUGGAGGCAACACUGGUGCUUUUAGGAAAUGCAAAGAUGGUAAAUGGGUCCAUGCCUUCUGUGCUGAGUGGGUCUUUGAAGCUACCUUCACAAGAGGACAAGUAAAUCCAGUCGAAGGAAUGGAUUCAAUUCCAAAAGGUGUUGAUGAGUGUAAUGUGUGCCACCAUAGAUAUGGUGUCAGCAUAAAGGGGAA